rnacentral:rRNA from 1 species
UACGUAGGGUGCAAGCGUUGUCCGGAAUUAUUGGGCGUAAAGAGCUCGUAGGCGGCUCGUCACGUCGGCUGUGAAAACCUGAGGCUCAACCUCGGGCCUGCAGCCGAUACGGGCGAGCUAGAAUUCGGUAGGGGAGACUGGAAUUCCUGGUGUAGCGGUGAAAUGCGCAGAUAUCAGGAGGAACACCGGUGGCGAAGGCGGGUCUCUGGGCCGAUAUUGACGCUGAGGAGCGAAAGCGUGGGGAGCGAACAGG